CCCAGACUCCUACGGGAGGCAGCAGUGGGGAAUAUUGCACAAUGGGGGAAACCCUGAUGCAGCGACGCCGCGUGAAGGAAGAAGUAUUUCGGUAUGUAAACUUCUUUCAGCAGGGAAGAAAAUGACGGUACCUGACUAAGAAGCCCCGGCUAACUACGUGCCAGCAGCCGCGGUAAUACGUAGGGGGCAAGCGUUAUCCGGAAUUACUGGGUGUAAAGGGUGCGUAGGUGGCAUGGUAAGUCAGAAGUGAAAGCCCGGGGCUUAACCCCGGGACUGCUUUUGAAACUGUCAUGCUGGAGUGCAGGAGAGGUAAGCGGAAUUCCUAGUGUAGCGGUGAAAUGCGUAGAUAUUAGGAGGAACACCAGUGGCGAAGGCGGCUUACUGGACUGUCACUGACACUGAUGCACGAAAGCGUGGGGAGCAAACAGGAUUAGAUACCCCCGUA
rnacentral:rRNA from 1 species